GACGAACGCUGGCGGCGUGCUUAACACAUGCAAGUCGAACGGAAAGGCCCUGCUUUUGUGGGGUGCUCGAGUGGCGAACGGGUGAGUAACACGUGAGUAACCUGCCCUUGACUUUGGGAUAACUUCAGGAAACUGGGGCUAAUACCGGAUAGGAGCUCCUGCUGCAUGGUGGGGGUUGGAAAGUUUCGGCGGUUGGGGAUGGACUCGCGGCUUAUCAGCUUGUUGGUGGGGUAGUGGCUUACCAAGGCUUUGACGGGUAGCCGGCCUGAGAGGGUGACCGGCCACAUUGGGACUGAGAUACGGCCCAGACUCCUACGGGAGGCAGCAGUGGGGAAUAUUGCACAAUGGGCGGAAGCCUGAUGCAGCAACGCCGCGUGCGGGAUGACGGCCUUCGGGUUGUAAACCGCUUUCGCCUGUGACGAAGCGUGAGUGACGGUAAUGGGUAAGAAGCACCGGCUAACUACGUG
rnacentral:rRNA from 1 species